rnacentral:tRNA from 1 species
ACAUGCGUGGUGUAAUGGUAACAUGGCUCCCUUCCAAGGAGUUGCCUCGGGUUCGAUUCCCGACGUGUGUA